GGAGCCUUAUCAAUUUGUCACUCAAUUUUAUUUACCACUGUUAGUAUUUGAUGGGUUAUUUGACAUUUCUGGAUGUUUCAUUCCUUCCCAUGUCCCUUUUCUUUUUCUCAUAUUAGGCCAUGAGAUGACUGAAAUGCCCUUUGGCCACACGACUUCAGCAACUGGGCUCGACCACAGGUUGAGCAGCAGAACGAUGUCUGGAGCCGCAGCCGCCGCCGCCGCCUGUUCUCCCGGCCAAACCAGGUAAUUGAUCAGUUCCAGAUCCGUUUCUCUACCUCAUUUCGCAACCAUUUCAUCGACCCUGACAACAUCUUCAGAUUCGGAGGAAAUAGACAGAUCGGUUGAUGGAGGUUGUCGUCUCUUGCUGUCGCAGGUUCGGCUUGCCGAGGAAAUCAUCACCUCGUUCGCUGGAGCGCUGCCGCUUCUCCUCCCCUAGCUCUAUCAAGAGAUGGUUAUUGGGUUAUUUCGGUUACAGGAAAAUUCGGUUAUCAGACCAAAAUUAGUUCGGGAGGAGUAUAAUCGAUCACUUCGGUUUUGAUUUCGAUUACGACCGAAAUGUAAUAGAUUAAGACUGCAACAAAAAAAUGAUAGAAAUUAAAAAGAAUUGACAACACAUUCUCUAUUCUGUUUCUUUUUUAUAUAGUUCAA
rnacentral:lncRNA from 1 species